rnacentral:rRNA from 1 species
UACAGAGGGUGCAAGCGUUGUUCGGAAUUACUGGGCGUAAAGCGCGUGUAGGCUGCGGUGUAAGUCGGACGUGAAAGCCCUUGGCUUAACCAAGGAAGUGCAUCCGAUACUACUCAGCUAGAGUAUGGGAGAGGGCAGUGGAAUUCCCGGUGUAGCGGUGAAAUGCGUAGAUAUCGGGAGGAACAUCAGUGGCGAAGGCGGCUGCCUGGCCCAAUACUGACACUCAGGUGCGACAGCGUGGGGAGCAAACAGG